rfam:Agrilus planipennis Contig59160, whole genome shotgun sequence.
AGGUAGAGGGGUUUUAGUCGGUAGGUCUGAGGACACCUUCCUCGGGAAUCCGACACUACCCAGUCGUGCGGACGGCUGGGUGUCUUUUGAAGAUUUCCCCUCUUCC